rnacentral:rRNA from 1 species
UACGUAGGGAGCAAGCGUUGUCCGGAAUCAUUGGGCGUAAAGCGCGCGUAGGCGGCCCUGUAAGUCCGUUGUGAAAGUCAAAGGCUCAACCUUUGAAAGCCGAUGGAUACUGCAGGGCUAGAGUCCGGAAGAGGCGAGUGGGAUUCCUGGUGUAGCGGUGGAAUGCGCAGAUAUCAGGAGGAACACCAAUAGCGAAGGCAGCUCGCUGGGACGGUACUGACGCUAAGGCGCGAAAGCGUGGGGAGCGAACAGG